AAAAUCUCUUUGCAGACUCCUGGCUAUUUGCUUCUGCUGCUCCCCAGUCUGAUCUGUGUGUCUUGCUCCCUGUGAAAUCAAACACUUGACUCCCCACAAUGGCACAAUGAAACAUCUACCUGAGGUCCCCCGGCAUGCAAACAUAAUUAUUCUUGAGACCAGUGGUGCUCCUUGAAGCUCACUGUGAAGAAAGCAUAUUUGCCUUUCUUUUCCUCCUUUUUUGUUCUAUCAACAGGCACAAGCUUGCUUGACUAAUCUAUCAAACAUGGUUCCCCUUCCUUCCUGGACAAACUCAGAAGUCAUUUUCCCUCUCAGAGCCUAAAGCUUAUGGUCCAUGAGCCAAGGCAACCAAUCCCUGCCCUGCCCACCACAGACAGAUGAAGGAGGCAUCUGUCAGAUGUGAAUAGGCCCCUGUGAGCUGUCAGCCCCACCCAAACAUCACACAUUAUUACUCGGGUUUCAUAUGGGCAGCACUGAGUGCCUUUUAGUCAAAUUGUCUGCAAAUGCGGAGAAGUCUACUUAGCUGUGAGUUAACUUCCUGGUGAAACAAAGAGACAAGACUUCAGGACAGGGCUCAAGAUGGCUUCCUGCUUUUAAAAGCUUAUACUGUCACAUGUGAUUAAGUUCCCAAGCCACAUCUCCUCCCCAGUUCUGGCUCACACUGAGGAAGCAUUAGGAUACAAGACCUCUCCCAUCCUCUCCUCUGCUUUGUCUAUCUUGAUGCUCACAUAGUGAAUUCAGUCCCCUCUGGCUUCUAGCAGGUAGCCCAUAAUUUGGACAACUGGAAGUACAGAAGAAAAGGGUUACAUUAGCUUCCUUGAAUCAGCAAAUAGAGCCAAGAACAACUCCUUAUAGCUCUUCCAUCCUUUGCCUACUAGGUGGCUGAAGUGUGACUUCCCUGUCCUUGCAGGUUAGUAGUCUGGACUCUGGAUACUGAUCUAGCAAUCAGUAAGGCGUGUCUGCAUGGUCUUCAAGGACAGUGACUACAUAGUCUGAGCAUGCCGCUUCCAUGUGUGCUCCCCAUUAACCAGCACCUCUGCAGAAGCCAAUCUCUUGGCCAUGAGGAAGGCUGUUUCCAGUGCAGUAAGAGAAUACCCAAG
rnacentral:lncRNA from 1 species